rnacentral:rRNA from 1 species
GACGAACGCUGGCGGCGUGCCUAAUACAUGCAAGUAGAACGCUGAAGGAGGAGCUUGCUUCUCUGGAUGAGUUGCGAACGGGUGAGUAACGCGUAGGUAACCUGCCUGGUAGCGGGGGAUAACUAUUGGAAACGAUAGCUAAUACCGCAUAAUAGUAGAUGUUGCAUGACAUUUGCUUAAAAGGUGCAAUUGCAUCACUACCAGAUGGACCUGCGUUGUAUUAGCUAGUUGGUGGGGUAACGGCUCACCAAGGCGACGAUACAUAGCCGACCUGAGAGGGUGAUCGGCCACACUGGGACUGAGACACGGCCCAGACUCCUACGGGAGGCAGCAGUAGGGAAUCUUCGGCAAUGGACGGAAGUCUGACCGAGCAACGCCGCGUGAGUGAAGAAGGGUUUCGGAUCGUAAAGCUCUGUUGUAAGAGAAGAACGAGUGUGAGAGUGGAAAGUUCACACUGUGACGGCAUCUUACCAGAAAGGGACGGCUAACUACGUG